GUCAGAUCCUCAGCCAACACUCUGGAUGUGGUGGGCAAGCUAUGUCAUCAUCUUGGACCACCAUGGAGAAGCUGGCCUGUUUUGUGUAAGAACAGAGAGAUUCUGUCUGGUCUUGGAUCCCACAUCAUGACUGUGCAGCACUGGGUAUAAGGCGCACUUGGGAGCCUGAGUGAAGAACAUUGGGAAGGGGUCUGGAAGUUCUCUGCACUACAGCCUCCAGGAAGAGAAAAGCUAUCGCAUGGAUGAAGCCCAAAGAUACGCACUGAUGCUUAGCCAUUGCCAACUGAGGCUGGUCCUGCAGCAUCAGAGGAAACAAGAGCCUUCACAGUGAGGAGUCCAGACCACCCUGACCCUGGCCACUUCUGAGCUGAGGAAAGUCAAGCCUGAGAAAGAUCCUUCCUACCCAGAAAAACCCCUCCUUUCCAGACAUGGCCUCCCAGGACCUCUGUGUUACUCCCUCUGUAUGCAGGUGCAGAGAGGACAGCUGGGUGAGGAGGGGUUCAGACAUCAGGAGCCAGACUAGACAGGUCUGCGUCCAGCUCUGUCAGGGUCACAUUCAAUCUGAGGAGGUAGAGAACAUUCCGUGGACCCCAGGCCGUGAAGGACUUGCACCGCUAAGACCUACAUGAAGACCGAGCUAAGCAGAUAAGUGGCAGUAGAGAAAGAGUGGGAACUCAAGCUUGAAGGACUGGGACGGAGCUCAGUGACGGAGCACUUACUUAGUGUUUGCAAGACCCUGAGUUUUCUCCUAAUGUCAAAGCCCCCAAACAACAAUGAACUCAAGCUUGGCUAGCUUGACAACCUAGUGUGCAAUAACCCAUUCUAAUUUUUUUUUUUUGGCAGGGGCAGGGGAAUCAAA